rnacentral:rRNA from 1 species
AUACGUAGGGGGCGAGCGUUGUCCGGAAUGAUUGGGCGUAAAGGGCGCGUAGGCGGCCCGGUAAGUCUGGAGUGAAAGUCCUGUUUUUAAGAUGGGAAUUGCUUUGGAUACUGUCGGGCUUGAGUGCAGGAGAGGUAAGUGGAAUUCCCAGUGUAGCGGUGAAAUGCGUAGAGAUUGGGAGGAACACCAGUGGCGAAGGCGACUUACUGGACUGUAACUGACGCUGAGGCGCGAAAGUGUGGGGAGCAAACAGGAUUAGAUACCCUGGUAGUCCCCACCGUAAACGAUGAAUGCUAGGUGUAGGGGGUAUCGACCCCUUCUGUGCCGCAGUCAACACAAUAAGCAUUCCGCCUGGGGAGUACGGCCGCAAGGUUGAAACUCAAAUGAAUUGACGGGG